GCUAUAUUUUUAAAAAGCAGCAGAGUGGAUUAAGAGAAAAUAAUCCCACCACUGACAAAAGCCAGAUGGAAGCAAGAAUGCAAAAUAUUUGUGUUAAUAGCAUUUUGCUGGAAAAUCACAAACCUCUCUACAAAAAGUGUAAACCCAGUUUAGAGUAUUCCAGUUACUCCCAUCCCCACCUUUCAUGGCGUCAUCUCUGGUAUCAGCCCCAGCCGUGCAUCACAAUUCCCAUUGCUCCCUGCUGAACAGUGAAGUUGAAAGAGCUACAUGGGGGAAUCAACAAUAUUUAUGAGUACCAAACCUCUACAUCGAAGCUGACCACCAAAAAGCCAAAAAUAAACAUUUAUAUCUCUA